rnacentral:tRNA from 1 species
UGUGGCUGGAUCACCUCCUUUAUAGGGAGACCUACCCGCUUGAGAAGGAUGAAGGGUAAAGGAUGAAGGAUGAAAUAAGCCCGAAGCCUGAAACUCUUCAGAUAUACACAUUACUUCUUCCAAGUUGGUCAUCCCAAGGUCGUUCGAGUAUAAGUGUCUGAGCUUUCAAACUAUUCGGUUCGGUUUCAUGGGCUAUUAGCUCAGGUGGUUAGAGCGCACCCCUGAUAAGGGUGAGGUCCCUGGUUCGAGUCCAGGAUGGCCCACCUUUACCGAGGACGAAGUGCUGAGGACUGAGGACUGAGUAGGAAUAUUCAUCUUUCAUCCUUUAUUCUUCAUCCUUUACAUGGGGGUUUAGCUCAGUUGGUAGAGCGCCUGCUUUGCAAGCAGGAUGUCAGCGGUUCGAGUCCGCUAACCUCCACUGGGCAAAUUGCCCAAUAUGAAGCAAUUUUAGAGAGUUCAGCAACUUAUCUGGAUAGUCUGGUCAAAGACUGUUGAGAGAGCCUGCUGGAUUUUACCAGCCAGAACCUAGAAAACUGCAUAGCGAGAAAUUGUCAGGUAGUAAAAUAUCAGACACCAAUGUUGUAGUGGUCAAGCUACAAAGGGCUGAUGGUGGAUACCUAGGCACACAGA